GACGAACGCUGGCGGCGUGCCUAAUACAUGCAAGUCGAACGAACCGCGACUGAGUGCUUGCACUUGGUCAAGGUGAGUGGCGAACGGGUGAGUAACACGUGGGUAACCUACCUCAUAGUGGGGGAUAACAGUCGGAAACGACUGCUAAUACCGCAUAGGACAUAGGAUCACAUGAUCCAGUGAGGAAAGGUGGCGCAAGCUAUCGCUAAGAGAUGGACCCGCGGUGCAUUAGCUAGUUGGUAGGGUAAAGGCCUACCAAGGCGAUGAUGCAUAGCCGACCUGAGAGGGUGAUCGGCCACAUUGGGACUGAGACACGGCCCAAACUCCUACGGGAGGCAGCAGUAGGGAAUCUGCCGCAAUGGACGCAAGUCUGACGGAGCAACGCCGCGUGAGUGAAGAAGGUCUUCGGAUCGUAAAGCUCUGUUGUUAGAGAAGAACAGCGCAUAGAGUAACUGCUAUGCGUGUGACGGUAUCUAACCAGAAAGCCACGGCUAACUACGUG
rnacentral:rRNA from 1 species